rnacentral:rRNA from 1 species
UGAAACUUUGUUACGACUUUUACUUCCUCUAGAUAGUCAAGUUUGACUGUCUUCUCAGCGCUCCACCAGGGCAGUGGGCUGACCCGGCGGGGCCGAUCCGAGGACCUCACUAAACCAUCCUAUCAGUAGUAGAGAC